GUGGCGGUGGCUGCGAGAUUGUUGGCCCUGUGGCCCAGAAGCUGUAGCUGUGCUGUAACUUUCUCUUCCCUUACAUUUGACUUUCAUUCAACUCUUGUUUCAGUCGUCCUUGAUAUGCUUCCUGCUUCCCUUCCUCCUUUCUCCAUUUCUCCCCCGUUUUUAACUCUGCCCGUGUUUUCCUACCUCCGUUACUGGUUGUAUCUCUUUUUUUCCCUUCUCCACAGACACAGGAAAGUUGGUUCUCAGUUGACCUGUUUAUUGACAUUGGUAUGCCUAGCCUCUGCUACCAGACCCUUUAGCAAAAUGCUGAAGAUGCUUAUUCCAGAGAUAUUUCGAGCUUACCACACCCAAACUCCAUGAAGACGAAGGUCAUAGUCAUCUUCUGAACUGUUGGCAUCCUCAGCACCCGGCACUUAAUAGGUGAGCGGCUUAUAUCUGUCCAAAAAUGCAAUAGAGAGUACCAGGUAGUUUUAUUCAGGGAGAGAAGCAGGCAAGUAGACUCAGACAAGUAGAAUCAGUAAUCUUACCCACACACAGAAAAGAAGACUUGAUCCUUUUGUAUUCAAAGUUUCAGUGAUAAAGCACCACCUUCCAAACAGUUGUUUGAAGUUGACUGGUGCUUCAUUACCUUCCCUAUUUCCAGUUUACUUCCUAAAUAUAAUAGUUAACCCAGUGAGUUUAGAAAAUGCCACUCACUGUGCUGAGAGCGUCUCAUGAAUCAACUCAUUUUUAAUCCUCAGCAACCGCAGUGAAGUCAGUAUUAACACGUGACCAUAGAGUUUGGAAACAUGGACAAAUGCACAAAAUAAAUGAAUGAUUACAGUAAAAAGACGUAAGAUGUUCAUGGUGGUGUCCCUCAUUACUAAUUCCAAUGAGUAUGGUUCACUAAUGCAGCAAUUCUUUGAAUUCUUGCAUGAGCAUUUAUGGUGCAUUGCUCAAGUGAUUUAUGUUUCUGAUUUCAUUAAAUAAGCCUGUGCCAGAAAAAUUAACCAAACAGGUUCUAUCUUUUUUAAAUAUCUUUCCAGACCUUUGGCCACUUUGUUAUUAUCCCCAUUUUGCCCAUAGCGUAAAAUGAGGCACAGAGAAAUUAACUUGCCCAAAGUCAUUUGGCAGAGCCAGCCUCUGCUACCUAUAUACUAUGUUAUGCUUGGGUGAGUUCCCACUACCCCUGCUGUGGUUGAAGCACUUAUUCUUUCACAUCUAAACUAUGUGAAGCAGCCUCCUAAUUGUUUUCCAUGUCUUUUCUCUUUCCUUGCUGUUUCCAGAAUGCUCAUGCUAUUCAGUAAAAUUUUCAUGCUUUUGCACACACUGUUCUCUCUGCCUGCUCUCUCUUCUCCCUCUCGUCCCCACUACCUCCAUCUUCCCCUGACUAGCUCCAACACAUGAUGUGAGGUUCACUUUUGAAUGGCUUUCCUUGAUGCUCCCAGGUGUGAUUAAGUCCCUCCUUAAUACUCCUCUAUUACAUUUGCAUUCUUCUAUUAGGCUCUUUUUUUGUCUUCAGUGAUACUGUGAAGUCCUAGAGGACAAGUACCUCUUCCUUCUUUCAUCUUUGUAUUACCUAGGGCUAGAAUACAGUCUGUUACAUGGUAAACAUUCUGUAAAUUUAUGUUUAAACAACCCCACUCAAGUAGCAGAGGGGAGUACCUUGUGAGAUCUAUAGAACCCAUUUGGCACAUGUUCCAGCUUCCUGCAGGGAGUAGAAGGUCUUUACUUCUCCGUGACAUAACCUGGGCAACUCUCCACCCCUGUAGAAGAUUACCUGUGCCUGAGUGGAUCUGACUGAAAGAAUUACCUGCCACUGAAGAGCUUGACUGGCCUCUUAGGAGAAGGAAUGAUGAACCUCAGCUGCCUGGCCUUCAUGGCCAGCCGCGCCUCCAGGCCUGUCUCAUGGAAGAAGUUGGUGUUCAUUUGGACCCCGCUCCUGGCAAAGUCCGGAAUGAUGACACCCAUAUUUGUCACAAACUCCACAGACACAGAAGGCUUUGUCACCAGUUCUGCCUGCAUCUGUAAGUCAAAAAGCGGCCUACUCGUCUUUGUUAAACAACCUGUCCCCUGCGGUCAGAUCAACCACCCUUCCCACCCCUGGGCAAACAUCCCUGGAUCACUCACACUAGGGGAAACAUUAUGGAGACUUUUUUGUAGGACAAAAGCCAAGUUCUCAAUCCUCCAGGGCCAGAAUGUGUACCCAGGACUGGGAAGUGGCCAAGUUAACUUUCAGCACAGCAAGAUAAAAAGAUAACAGAAACCUCUUGACUGCCGCGCCCAAGUGGAGCGAGUGAGGUGGGGCACCCCAGGGGAACCCUAAGGGUUUUCAUAAAAGUUACUGAGGUGAUUACAGUGAUGAUGCACUUCGUCUUGAAUUGGAAACACAUUUUUAAAUUGCACGAGCACCUGCCCUGAAGGAAUCAAAAGGUGAGCAGAGUCUUACAUUGGCUACUUCCAGUUUCACUCCAGCCUUCAUUCCAGGAGUGAUGACUCCGGAGGAGGACACUUGCAGUUGUAAUCCAAGGCCAGUGGGGAGUUCAAAGGCGUUGUCCAUGAAGAUGUAGUGAAGAAACAAGUCAUUCUUUGAGCCUUUCCUUAUGGUCUCUCUAAUCUGUAGAUCCGACAGGCGAGAGUAAAAGAAAGCCUCACCAAAGGGUGCUUCGUGAAAUGCAACCUCCCACACAUCAGACAACAGUUAUUCUUCUUUAUCCAGAAAGGAAGGGACCAGCAUAUUUUAAUUAGCCGAAUAGUUUAAUAGAUGAAUAACUAUUACUUUCAACAAAUUGGGAAACAAAAAAUUGCUGUGGGUAGAUAUCAUGUCAUUUUCAACUGGUGAUUCAGAAAGCACUUCAGAAUAUUUCUGGGCCUCUGAGAUUUAUGAACGUUAAGUAUCAUUGCAUGGCAUGGCUUAAUUCUAGUUUUCUGGAGUCUAAAUGUAAGUGAGGGUUUAUUUGCAGCACAAUAUAUUAUGGUAAAAACCAAUUUUUUUUAAAACUGAUGAGCUUAAUUUAAAUGAUGUACAUAUCAGUAUGCAAUGCUUUUUGUUUUUUUAUAACACAUCUGGAAAGUAAAUUGAGAUGUUUUAUUAAAGCCACAUUAUUAUUCACUGCACCUUAGGGAGUGUAUUUGGUUAUUUUCUCCCUUCUUAAUAAAUGAAUAACUAUAAAAACUAUAGUUCAUAUUUAGAUAGCAGAUUUUAGUUUGCCACACACAUUCUUUCUUAAUCAUUACAUCAUUUCAAUAUUAAAAGAAACCUGUGGCUUAGGUAGAGGGAGAUACACUUAACAUUGUUUUUCAGAUGAACAAAUAAAUCCUCUUAAAAGAUACAUCUAUCCAAUCACAGGGAACUAUAUUCACUAUCUUGUAAUAACCUUUAAUAAAAAAAAGACUAUGAAAACAAA